CUUUGGGCAGAUUAUUUAUGUUUCGGUUUUAUUUUAGUUGUUUUGAAUGAAUGCAGAUUUUAUUUUAUUAUUUGUGAACUUUAGAUGAUUUUAACCCAUUCCUGUGAGUUCGCGCUGGGGAGAGGUGUGAGUGGGAAAGCCAGAGCCAGGAGCUGCUGCUGAACAUGUUUUUUGUUUUAAACAGGAAUAAAUCAAUGCAAAUCCUGGUUCCUUGACGUGAUUCAUUCUACAACUGUUACACAGGCAGUCAUGUUCAAAUUGACUUCUGAUUUCCCUGUCAGCAGGUGGUGGUGCUUUCUGCUCCCCAAACCAAAUCCUGACAUAAACCUGGAAGCCUUAAAGACACAAGGGCCAAAUGUCUGGGAGCUAUCUAGUCCCCACGGCACCCAGCCUGAGAAAUUGGUGCCAAGGGACGGCUUCGCCUGGACCAAUUGUCUCCCCAAUCCUUGGAUUCCCAGGCUCAGUUGAAGCAUAACUUGGUGACUCAAACCGCAUGAGAUGGAUCCUGUGGCUUUACGGAAGGGGACGUUUGACAUGGGCGCUCUCUGCCCCAACGUGCACGACGCGCACGCACUCAGCCGCACAGAUGCAGAGAUUGCGAGCAUGACUCGCCUCAAUAGCAGCAGAGUCAAACAAAUUGCUAAGGUCUGUGCAAACAAGAACAAUGUGUGGAAGGAUUUAUACAACCACUCUUUCUUACACACACACACUAACACACGCAUGCACACACACACGCACAUUAAUUCGCUCCCUAUUCUUACUGAGUCACAUUUAUUUACAAAAAGCGCGAGCCAGCUAACAUUGUGUACAUUUGUAUUAGCGCUAACCUUUUCUGUUCUUGAUAUUUUGCAAAUUGUGUAUAAAUCUUGAGAACAGUCCUAGAGCAAAGUGUUUCAUCAGGCAGUAUUUAGAUAUGUCACAUCAAAACCCGCAGAGAAAGGCCGGUCUACCCUGAUUGCCAGAAAAUAAACAGAAGCGAAGUCGGAGUCUAACUCAUUCAUCACUGCAUCAUGUUGACUGCCAUUUGAUGUGUGGAGCUUCCAGGACGUAUAUGAGGCUUUUCUCUGCUGGAUACUUCAGCAGUGUGUGUAGCAAUAUGUUGGGCAGGUAACCGCAGUGGGAUUUUUACUGAAAUCCGACUGCGGACCAAAAUUACGGCGUUUGUUAAAUUUUCAGCUGCUUCUGUUCACUUCCACGCUGCACCGUGUCAAACAGUCCAAGCCAACUGGAAAAACCUGUUUACCUCCUCACCUGUGGUGGAGCUGCACCAAAAACCACGAGAGGAAACAACAUAAAAACCUCAGAAGACACUGAGGUGUCUUCUUCUAGUUGUGAAGAAGGAACAACUUCCUUUUUUAAAAA